rnacentral:lncRNA from 1 species
GAACUGCCUAUCAAAAGUGACUUCUUCAUUAUGGGUGUCACCUAAGGACAUUCUGUACGGACUGGAGCUUCCUGUUGUACAUAUGAAAAAUUUUCCCAAAGAAGUCUGAUGUUUGUAAGAAGAGAUCAUUCCAAAAGUGCACAGGAUCUUGGGGUCAGGAAUAGCACUUCAGAUUGAAGAAAUUGUUGGAACCAACGCAUUCUAAUCUGCUCGAAAAGGACCCACGUUUGUUUCAGGAGUGAUUUUACUUGGACAUCAGUGAUUAACAGAAACUCCAGAUCACUUCAGAAAAAUGCAGUCUCACAAGGAAGAACCUGCAACAUCUCAGAGAUCACAGUCUUAAAAAGGAUCCAAACCCAGUGA